UUAUAUAAAGUAAUUUUUACAUUUAAUUUCGACUUAAAAUAAAGAAAUAAUAUUUCUUAUAUAAA
rnacentral:tRNA from 1 species